CAUGCGUCAUUUUUGACCUAGCGCCUUGACGUGACAUCCGAGCAGAGCAAGAGCAGAGCAGAGCAGAGCAAGAGCAGAGCAGAGCAAGAGCAGAGCAAGAGCAGAGCAGAGAAAAUCCGAAUUUUUUUUGUCGUCUCGACCAUUUUGCUUUUUAUCAAUUUGGGAAGGAAUUUGUGGUUCUGAAUUUAUAUAAUCUGUAAAUGCGCGACAUAACAGAAAAUCAUUAUACGUAGUGUAAUUAUAUUCAGCUGUGAGCGCUUUGGAAGUGUGCUGUGUUAUGAAAGUGGUUGUUUAUUUGCCUGUCAGUUUCAACAAAAUGACACGUUUAUCUAGUCUAGGUUUGUGAUAAUCCAUGUUAAAAUGGUAACAGUAAUUUGUUGAUAGAGCAAAUUGAUAGAUGUUAUGCAUGGUUUUCUCAGAUAUUUAAAUGUGACCCUUGCUCUAUAGAUGAUUUUCUGAAAAAUACGUUUGAACUACACACCCUGGCUGCCACUUCUCUGCACAUUCUCAAGAAUGUUAUCUACAAUCUUUUCGAGUAGGCUACAUCAAGAGAUUGGAUGACUUGCAUCAUUGCUUGCAUCAAUACAACUCUCCACUCAUCCCCUGUUAUUUCCACUCUUUCUUCUAGGGAAGCAUAACGUGCCUUAGACAGAAUCAGUGUCACCAACUACACAGAGGAAAGUAUGAGCAAGAUGGACAAAAGCAGUUCCUCUGGAUGUACACAGGAGGAAAAUGUCCUUCAGCUGGAAAGACAUGGUCAUGUUCCUUGAGGGAGAGGCCUCCUAGCAUUGAAAGUACGGUAUGCAAUAAGAAUUGAGCAGUAAAGGAAGGCUAACCUAUAUCAGAGCCUUUUAUGUGUAAAUAGGUUAUGUAAAGAAACACUGACAAUGGUGACUGACUGUUAGACUUAUUCUUAGAGGAGUAUCUACCAUGGUGGAUAAAUGAAGAUAUCCCAUAAAGGCUGUUUACCAUUAAAAAAGGUAGGUCACAGUUCCGGUCUACUUAAGGAGUGGCUCUCCCAUACGCACCAAUGCAAUAGCAGCGUCUGGUCUAGUUAGUUCAUUGACUGUGUAUAAACCAGAAAAAUAUCUUGCUUGCUCUUCCGUCUCAGGUAUCUACCACAAAUCAUGUGACAAUAUUUUUGCCCACAAUUCCAGAACAACACACGCUCGUUCUUUAAUGUCCGGAGCACAUCUUUGCUUGGCAGCCCGGCUAAGACCUGUCCACGGAGUAGAUGUGUGAGGUCACGUUCAGACGCUGUAAACAGCUGUUCCGGUAUGACUUCCUGACACACGAUGACAUCAUGGGGCAGUCGUGGAGGACAGUGGUGCUGAAUGACUGUCUGGGCAUGUAUGACUGGCCCCUGGGUGCCAGUAUUUGAAUCCUUAACAAAUGGAUGUUUGGUGGGACAGUGGCCAACUCCAGAUCCCAGAGACUUGGCCGAGUCAGAGACCCCAAGACUGCUGGUGAUGCCAGGAGUGAUGGUAGGAGAAACGGGGGAAAAACUGGGUGAGAACGGACUGGACAAUGAACAGGUUCAAUACCAUUUGUUUUUAUAGAAAAUAAAAUGCCUUUCAUCACA